UGGAUUCACCUGAGAGCGGUGCGCAUGCCCUGGAAAGCAUUAUGGUUAGACCCAUGUGAGACAGUUCCCGAGAACCUCUUCCCUGGCCCGCUCAUGCCCACCCACCCCUGAGCCCCGGAUCACGCAGUGGGUGUCUCUCGCGAGAGCUCAUCGGCGCCCGCUGUGCAUUGGGAGGCUCACGUCCCCACCCUCGGGCUUUCCAAGGUGCCGCGCCAGGGGUUGCUGAGGUAGAGGUGGCUCCCCUGCUCCUCCUUCCACCUCUCCGAUUCCACCUCCUCCUCGCACCCCGCUGGGAACUCCUCCAGGGGCUGAGAUUGGAUUCACCGAGCCUGCGGAGAGUGGGGAACUGCGGGCAGGUCGGCGGAGUUAGAUGGCAGCAAAGGUGGGCCGGCUUGGUGUGAUAAAGUUCCAACUGGGUCCUUCCGCGAGCCCUGGGUCCAUAAGAUGUCAUCGGCGAGCGCUGGACUUGACCGUCAACUUGGGAUUGUUAAGGUAAAUGGUGUCUCCUUCUGUCGCCAAGGCGGUGGCAUGGUCUCGGCUGGCUGCAAUCUCCACCUCCUUGCUUCCAGCGAUUCUCCUGCCUCAGCCCCCCGAGUAGCAGAAAUUACAGGAGUUUCAUGGCAGGGCGCUUGGCUGGCUUGUUUAAAUUCAUUCUGAAUAAGAACUGAGGAUGUCAGCUUCUGGCCUCAUGGACUCUGGACUGAAGAGUCCCCUUGUCUAUCUAUCAUGAGACUGUACACGUAAGAAGCAAAAAACUAGUAACAUUUAAAAUAAAUAAUUUUGUUGUACAGAAAUACACGGAUGCACCUAAAACACAGAAAUGAU
rnacentral:lncRNA from 1 species